rnacentral:tRNA from 1 species
GCGGGCGUAGUUCAAUGGUAGAACACCAGCCUUCCAAGCUUGUGAUGCCGGUUCGAUCCCGGUCGCCCGCUCCA